CAGGGUCAGAGGGGACCAUGGAGUUGAGAAUGUGGACAUUGCACGUUUAAUGUUCACAAUUCGUGGCACAGGGAGAAGCAGUUUCAUUUCAGGAAAAAGUGUCCACAACCAAAGAAUAGAGAGACUGUGGAGAGAUGUGUGGACUGCAGUGACCAGUGUGUACUAUGAUGUGCUACACUAUCUCGAGGAGGACAACUACCUUAAUAUUGCAGACCAAACACAUCUCUUCUGUUGCCACUACACAUUCCUGCCAAGGCUACAAGAUGAUCUAAACUUUUUCCGAGAUGGUUGGGAUUAUCACCCUUUGAGAACAGAACUUAGCAUGUCUCCAAACCAGCUCUGGGAAUUGGGUCAAAUUCAAUAUCAAGUUGAUGAUCCCCCAAACGAAGAGGAAAUGAACAUUGCCGAGAUUGAUUGGGAAAGCAGUUGACUGCCUCCUGAUGAAAGUGUUGGUGUUAACGUUCCUACUGUACAAUGUCCACUUACACCUGAGCAACUUACUGCACUGAAGGACACAGUGGAUCCUAGGUCACCAUCACAAUCCUAUGGGAUAGACAUGUUCAUGGCUGCAGUCCAGUUUUGCCAAGCACUUGAGUAAUGACACAUUAACUGCUGAAACAACUUGAAUUAAUUUGGUGGAUAAUUAAACCA